rnacentral:lncRNA from 1 species
AGCAAAAAGGCAGCAUCUGCAAAUCAAACUAAGCAGCAUGUUCCAGGGCUGGGCAAAUGGGAGAGGGAGGAGCCGGGAGGUGGUUGCCAGGGAAACAUCAGAGCUUAGCCAGUCAGCAGGGGCCACCAGUUUGGUUGCCGGGUGCACUCUGCAGGGUGACACUGCCCUCAGGUGGUGGAUAGGGAUGCUGACAGCCACGGCACCAGGGACCGCUAUGUGCUGAGCCGAUGGAGGCACCUUAGGAUGUUUUCCCCUCGCUCUGUGGAUACUAAAGAUACCCAAGUAGGGCUGACCCUGCAUACAGCUCCCAUGGCCUCUCUGGGGGAGCAAGCUGAGGAUCUUCCGUUGUGAUGAGGCUUCAUAAACAACCUGACCUCUGGGGAAGUUGCUUUUGCCACAGUUCCCAUCAAGUGUUGCCCUGCAUGCCAAGGAAACAGAGCCCCUUGCAGGGAAGACAAAGGGUCCAUGAAAUGCCUCCUUCCUUGAACAUGACAAAAUUCAGUGCUGUCAUCUACAGAAUUCAGUGGCAAAGAUAGGUUUUACUGAAUUUCUUCAAUAAGAGGACAGUGGAACAAAGUCUGCUGGCCUUGGACCUUUAAGCUGUCUGCCUUCCCACACCCUCGCUUUCCAACUCACCCAAUGAAGAACACAGCUGCACAGUGACAGUCCCAUCAAGCCUGUGUCUGCUGCACCCAGACAAAGCCUCAGAGUCCUUCUCAUCACAGUGCUGUGGGCAGCCCCUGCUACCAACUAGAAUGGUCAAAUGGCUGUAUGGCCCCCUCAAUCCAUGUUCCAUUUGCUCCUAGUUCACUUGGGGUUUUUUGGCAAAUUGUUUGCUUUUCUCUAAAGUAUAUUGUUUGUAACUCAAGUAGCUUGUUUGUUGCACCCAAAGUUCACUAGGUUUGUACUUACUGGAAAAUUCCUGGGUCCUGCCCUUUUGACGUGUCCCCACCCAGGGCCCCCUGCCACCUCAUGCCCUCCAGUGACACUGACACCUUGGCCCUCUAUGCCCUGGACAGUCUGCAGUUUGCCGGCCCCAGGCACCUGCAGUCCAGGUGACCCCACCUUCCACUCUCACUACCAGCCCUGUGACAUUCUGCCCCACAGCUGGGUUAGACUCCCUGAGCACAUGCACCUCC